GUGUUCGUGAAAAGGAGAGAUGGUUGGCAUCUCCCCUGACAGGGACGGGAACAGCCUUCGGGCUUUCCUGUUAUACACACUCGGUUAAGGCUUACCAUCUGUAUAGAUGGAUCUUACCCAAUUUUUUU